GGAUGUUGAGGGGUGCACACGGUAUGGCGAUUUCCUCGAACGUGACACGAUAGGCAAGACUGUUUUGAUGUUACUUUGUAACCCAUGACCGUAGUAGAUAUCAUCAGCGGUUCUUUACAGCCAUGAAGCUGAAGCCGAUAUUUGACAUCCACGUUCUUUUCGUCGCAUGGUUCAUGCAUCUAUCAAACUGUACAUUUCAGUUCCUCUGUCCUGACAUUUCCUUCCUUGGUUCUUCUACACAGUUGAACUGCUCGACUUCCAAACCCUUUACCAAUCUAAUAUAUGAGGGACCU